UGGGCAAGGAUCCAAUCUAAAGAUGUCAUUAGUGGUGAUAACAUGGGCAAGGAUCCAAUCUAAAGAUGUCAUUAGUGGUGAUAACAUGGGCAAGGAUCCAAUCUAAAGAUGUCAGUAGUGGUGAUAACAUGGGCAAGGAUCCAAUCUAAAGAUGUCAUUAGUGGUGAUAACAUGGGCAAGGAUCCAAUCUAAAUACGUCAUUAGAGUGGUGAUAACAUGGGCAAGGAUCCCAUCUAAAGCGUGGUCAUUAGGGCUGAUAACAUGUGCAAGGAUCCCAUCUAAAGCCUUGUCAUUGGGGAUGAUAACAUGGGCAAGGAUCCCAUCUAUAGCGUGGUCAUUAGGGCUGAUAACAUGUGCAAGGAUCCCAUCUAAAGCCUUGUCAUUGGGGAUGAUAACAUGGGCAAGGAUCCCAUCUAUAGCCUGGUCAUUAGGGCUGAUAACAUGUGCAAGGAUCCCAUCUAAAGCCUUGUCAUUGGGGAUGAUAACAUGUGCAAGGAUCCCAUCUAAAGCCUUGUCAUUGGGGAUGAUAACAUGGGCAAGGAUCCCAUCUAUAGCCUGGUCAUUAUGGAUGAUAACAUGGGCAAGGAUCCCAUCUAUAGCCUGGUCAUUAUGGAUGAUAACAUGGGCAAGGAUCCCAUCUAUAGCCUGGUCAUUAUGGAUGAUAACAUGGGCAAGGAUCCCAUCUAUAGCCUGGUCAUUAGGGAAGAUAACAUGGGCAAGGAUCCCAUCUAUAGCCUGGUCAUUAGGGAUGAUAACAUGGGCAAGGAUCCCAUCUAUAGCCUGGUCAUUAGGGAUGAUAACAUGGGCAAGGAUCCCAUCUAUAGCCUGGUCAUUAGGGAUGAUAACAUGGGCAAGGAUCCCAUCGAUCGCCUGGUCAUUAGGGAUGAUAACAUGGGCAAGGAUCCCAUCUAUAGCCUGGUCAUUAUGGAUGAUAACAUGGGCAAGGAUCCCAUCUAUCGCCUGGUCAUUAGGGAUGAUAACAUGGGCAAGGAUCCCAUCUAUAGCCUGGUCAUUAGGGAUGAUAACAUGGGCAAGGAUCCCAUCUAUCGCCUGGUCAUUAGGGAUGAUAACAUGGGCAAGGAUCCAUCCAAUGCUUUUCGCUUUAUCUUGUGUAAAUAUUUGCCCUGCACACUUCCAUCACCUGGCUUGGAUGGGGUGAGCCUCAGUAUCAUUCCAACUGAGUUAACAAGAUGUUAGAUCACAGUAGAGAUACUGAAGACAGUGUGGUG
ensembl:lncRNA